UAGCCGUAAACGAUACUCGCUAGGUGUCGGCCACGGUGCGACCGUUGUCGGUGCCGUAGGGAAGCCGUGAAGCGAGCCACCUGGGAAGUACGGCCGCAAGGCUGAAACUUAAAGGAAUUGGCGGGGGAGCACCACAACGGGUGGAGCUUGCGGUUUAAUUGGAUUCAACGCCGGAAAUCUUACCGGGACCGACAGCAACAUGAAGGCCAGGCUGAAGACUUUGCCGGAUUAGCUGAGAGGAGGUGCAUGGCGUGUGACUGU
rnacentral:rRNA from 1 species